CUAUAUCCAGGAAAAAAAGAUAAAACAUUUUAUGGUAAGCAUUUUAAUUAACGUAACUGUCACUACUUUGCUUAAUGAUAUUUGGAGAGUGUCUGAGCAGAACUCCUUUCAUUUGUCUGGACCCUAAUUUUCUCAUGUAUUAUGUAAUAAUACAGUUGAAUCAAAUGACCUCAACAUUGUGAAAACAUUGAAUUUAUGGUCUUUGGGCACUAACCAUUAGCUAUCCAAUUGUCUGGAGGCAUUUUUUGUUUAAUUGAGAAACUUCAUAAUUCAGUAAAUAUCAAAUCAUUACAUAAAUGACCAGUUUUAGGAUGACUGUAAUCUUACAGGACAGCUUUAAGGCUUGCCUCUGAAAAGUUAUAUAUACAGAAAGCCUAAAGGAUCAAAAUAGCUCAGAGCAUUUUAGUACUGUGCAGCCGACGAGUGGGUAAAGGUUGCCCAUGCCUCACUGUCAGCUUGCCAUUUUUAUGAAUAUAAAAAUCAUCCAUAUAGCAAACCGGCACACAGACAAACUCAUCUUGACUGAGGCUGAAUCCCUCCAAGGAGCUGGCUCGUGUUUAUGGAAGUUGUAUCAUUAGCUAGGUUUAGUAGCUAAAAGCUUCACUCCCACUUGCUAUUGAAAAGACUUGUAUUGCCAGAAUACUGUGACUUCCCUUGUCCUUGAUUAUAAUAUAUGUUUAAAAGCUGUCUUGAAAAGACAAAGAUAUUUUACAAUUUACAGUCUGACCUUAAGAUGCUCUUGACGGAUUGUCUAGAUUAUCUGGCUGCUCCCAGACAGGUCGAGUUCAUUUCUUAUCAGAAUGGUUAAAAUAAAUAUCCCUUCACUUUCUAUCAUUUCUUUGCCUGACAGAAGGUAAAUGUGUUGAGCCUGAGAGUUAUGGAGAAGCAAAGCCCAAGAGAUGAGUUUAAGUAGUCUCUUUGCCAAUACACUUCACAUGUGAGUUUGGGGCCAAAACGAAGGAAGGAUACUAUAACUAGGAAGAUUUUGGCCAGCAAAAGAAGGUCACCAAUGCAAACGUAGAAAUGCCCGCCAAUGCAAUAUCCUAAGAAAAUGUCUAGCAGUAUCAGUAUAUGCCUUUGGCCAGGUGUUAUAAAUAGAUGCUAUUAAGCAUUUGACUUACCUAAUCACUUUCUUAUGUUGUCCCCUCUAAAACUAAAUUGACUUUUGAGCACAGUACUCUUCACACAGCAAAAACAUACUGGCCAAGAUAGACACAGUCACUGUAGUGUUUGUUUUGCAUAUGAAUAACAAGGUACCAUUCUCUCUUCAGUGUUAAUUGGACUAAGGCAGAAAAUAUAAUUUAUAUUUGGAUUACAUAUGAAAGGAAAUUCUCAUGUUAAAUAUAGACAAAGAUUAUAAGUGUAGCUAUUAAAACAUAAUUAAGUUACACAACAUUAUUAACAUAGAGCUUUUCCAUUUCAAAUGCCAAAAGCCACACAUGGCAAUGGGGGUUCUAUACCGAACAAUGUAUGCUAUAGAGAAACACGUAGGUUAUUGGUCAUUUCUAUUAUCCAAGAAAUUUAUCUGAGAAAGAAAGUAGUUUGCAUGCCUUUACAAGAUCUUUCUUGGUAAUCUUAAGCAACUUAAACCUAGCUGUGGCACAGUAAGUCUAUAAGAUGGAAUAGAGUUGUCAUUAAAAUUGGAAUUGUGUGGGCCUUUUAACGUAAUUGCUAAUUGAUGUCUUAUAAAUAGAACAAAGAAAAGUGUUUGUAUAUUUAAAUAUUAAUGAGAUCCACACUCUCAUUUUCAGUGUGUCCCUCAGGAACUCUAACAAUCUCAAAUAUAUCCGUCGUUUCAACAGUCCUUCCACAUAAAGAGGCAAAAAGGGAACGAUGGAAGAAAUGCCUUCAAUUUUGACAACGAUUUCUACAACAUCUGUUACUAGAUGUGAACUUCAGAGAGAAUGGAGCUUCACAAGCAGGGGAAUGAAUGGUUCUACCUCACAUUCUCAUGCUGCUUUGUAAAAAUACCCUCGCAUAGUCCUCUAAUUUCGUGCCUACAAUAACCCCGCAGGGUAGAAGGACAUGGAGUAGGUAGGUGAGCCCCACAUUGCUUCCUCCCAGAGGUGAAGAAAUCACUGUUGAGGUCAGAGGGGUAUAGUCAGCAAGAAAAGCUCAGUUUUGGAGUGGCAGCUGUCAGGACAUGGACUGCAUUUUCAGAAAGGUGACCAUAGAAAGAAUAUAGGAAUCUAGAGAACUUAAAGUCAUAAAAAAAAAAAAGGUGGAAAAUAGUUUUCCUGUUGGACAAAGACUUGCACCAAAACAGGGGAAAUUCUUGGGGAAGGAAGCCAUCAUUUCUGCUAACCUGUUUCAGUCAAGAACACAGUUUGCACUCCCUCCCUCAUCCAUAUCCCAUCCUCUUAUUCACUCACUAAUUCAUUCCUUUAUUCACUCACUAAUUCAUUCACUAAUACAAGAUGGCUUUGCUACUUGCUAGGCUGUGAUAACUCUAGAGGGAAAAGGUAUCACCCCUGUUUUCCAGUGAUACAUACUUUUCUUCUUUUAUUGAAAAUAGAUAUUUUUUAAUCACAUAAUAUAUCCUAAUUAUAGUUUCACCUCCUCCUACUCCUCCCAGAUCCUCUGGAAUUCCAUCCCAUCUGGCUCUACCCCUUUUCUCUCUCUCAUUACAAAACAAACUGGCUUCUGUGGGAUAAUUGUAAAGUAUGAGAUAAGGUGAGAUGAGAUGAGAUAAGCAAAAGCUAGCAUGUUGAAUUUGGAGUAAACAAGAGAGGGGAAACCACCUAAGAGAAGGUGCAAGUAGCAGAGACCCACUUGUUUGCACAUUCAGAAAUUCCCAUUAAGAACUCUAAACUGCAACUAUAUAUGUGAAUGGCUUAUAGAAUGAAAGAGAGAGAAAAAGAAAAAUAUGCUAAUAAAAUAAAAAUAGAAAAUAAGAUAUAAUUAAUAAAAAGGAAAGAACAUGGCAGGACAUUAUAAGAUAAGAAACCUCCAAAGAUGCCAUUGAGUUUGCUUUCUGUUUGAAUAUCCACUGAUAGGCAUGCUUACCCUUAAGAGCAGUCUGUUUGUCAGUGAGACUCCCUUGGAGGAAACUGAAACUUUAUUUGUAAGUGGUUAUCAAUUGGAGGUAUGAUGCGUACUCUUAUGCAGAAGGAAAUGGGCAUUGCUUAUCAUCCUACACAAUAGGAAUAUUUUGAAACACUUUGACAACGGCAAAAACUGUGUUGAUUUAUUUUGCUGAGAUGUGUGUUCCACAGGGUGAAUCUUUGAGGACCCCACAGACCUCAGAGGUGAAUUUCAGAGAAAGAAGGAUUUUAGGAACACUGAGAGCAGAUUUAUAUUAUUUAAGACAAACACAAAUGAUAUCGUUUAUUGUGCCCACUGCGUCUCAGGCAUUUUUCAAACGUAUUAAACCUCCUCAUAAUAACAGCAUUUGACAUGUGUCAUGGUUUAUGCUUCACAAGUAGAGAAGGAGAAGUCAUUCUCUCUGGAUAAAAUAUCUAAUAAUUGAUACAAACACUAUUUAAAUGUGCAGAGCCACAUACUGGCAACUGUACCCUAAAGAAUAUAGUGGCUAUGAUAUUGUGGAAUCAAUUUUAUGACGUGAUUUUUUUUCUUUUUAUGGUAUAUCAUAAGCUGUUUCUCAUUUCAUUAAAAUUCUCCAUAAAUGUUUUUAUAGUAUAAACAUAUUUAUGUAUUAUAAUUUAUUUAUUUAAGUAGCCUUUUAUGUCUAGAUAUUGUAGCCAUAUUUCUUCUCUAUCUCUCUUUUUUUUCUUAUUCCUUUUUUCCCUGUUUCCUAUUUUACUAUUUUGAGUAACUGUGACUAGGUUUUUGGCCCAGGACUUUUUUUUCACAGGCCUAAGAGGGAAACCCUCUGAGACUUCCCUAUUAUUGUCACUGAGUUCAGGAGCAGCCAUAGCAGGCAGGAGCAUAUAAAAACUAUAUUCUAUUUUAGAUUGAUCACUCUGGAAAUUACUCCAUAUAUUGAGCUACUCAAGUUUGUUUGUUCUGAAGGGACCUGGUUAGUUCUGUGUCUCUCCGUAGUACAUUCUGAAGAAUUGCAAUUUGGCUGUAAUAUUAACCUACGAAUAGUAUAAUUAAGGUAGUAAAUCAGAUGAAAAUGUUAUUACAAGCCUAAAUCGAGGAGAUCUUUGCAUUAUCUGACCAAUCUGCAGCAAUAUGCAUUGCUUUGCCCAUUUAAGAAAAUCCCAACAGUGUUUGAUCGCUUUGCUCUAACUCAAACUUGGCAGGAAAAAAAAAGGGAAGGUUAAGGUUAAGCUAUGAAAAAAAAAUCCCCUCUAAAUAAAUGCAAUUAAAAUUAUUAAGCUCCAAUUGACCUAUACCAAUUGACCAUCUCUGCCGGUGCUGGGGGAUGAUAUCUAUUUUAAAGGAAAAUCCUGGAACUGCUGAGAGCAAAGAAUACACACCCUUCAUUUUUGAAAGGUUCACUUCCCACUCCCACUUUGGAUUGAGGAGGAGUUGCAGUUUGAGCUGCCCUGCAGGGAAGCUCAUAUACCCUGUAAUUUAAAGGGCCUUAGAUGCCUCUUGGGAGACUUGGUAAAACAUUCUAUUUAGAGACAUGCCUGCUGAUAUGACAUAUAUUUUUAUAGUUAUACCUCUUUAUUGCUGGGACAUAAAACCUGUUUUCACUCACAAUGGGCCUGUUUUCAGAAAAUAGAAGAAGAGGCAGGCAGAAAAUGGUGAUCUUAUUGUUGUAUAUUAGAACUUCUGUUUUACAAUUUUCUUUCUACCUCAUCUCUUUCCCCUACAGCUAUAGAGUUUAGCCAGCACAUUCGUCUGGAUGCUUCUUUAAGCUGAGAUGGCUCUGGGCUAACAGCACUAACUUCGGGAGCUUUCAUUUACUGUCUCAGACUCCACAUUCCCUAAGUCCCACAGCAAAGAAUCCUUUAUUCAGCCCCUCAUGUCUUAUUCCCACCAAACAUCCCCUAUAUAGUCACAAGUCCAGAGCCACUAGGUAUAUAUUCAGGAUUAUACUUAGAUGUAUCCAACUAUACACACAUGAAGCCCAUCUUGACUUCAUUCUCCCUAAAUAUCACAGUUAACAACUGUCCCUGGUAUAUUAUAAAGAGGACUCUGCUGCAUGGUUGCAAAGGUCUUAAUCUGACAUCAUUUUGUUCUAUCCCUCAUCCAUUACCUCCUGAUAGAGUAUGCGAGGAAGAUCACUCAUCACCACCAACACCCCCAUUUCAAAACAAAAUCCUUUAAAAUAGUUUGCAUUAUAUUAUUAUUAUUAUUAUUAUUAUUAUUAUUGCUGCAGUAGUUGUUGUUAUUACACACACAUGUGCAUGGGUGUGAUUUGGAAGUGCAUGUCAUGUCUCACAUGUAAAGGUUAGAGAACAUCUUUGUAGGGACAGUUUCUUCCUUUAACCAUCAUAUGGAUUCCAGUAAUAGAACUAGGGUCUCUAUGCUUAUGUAUGGAGUACCUUCACUCACUGAGCCAUCUUGCUGACCCAUCAUUCAAGCACAUUAGAUGUCAAAAGUCAUACCAGCUUUCACACAUUAUCAUUUCUUCCAGGUCCAGUUAAAUAUCUGACAACUACCAACAACUACCAUUCUCUAUACACAUACCUGCUUGAAUGAAGAACAUAAUUAACUUUAUUCUUAAAGAGAUGAUAGCCCGAAACAGGAGCAUAGGAAUGUGUCACACAGAGGAAACACUGCAGAAAAAGUGAAUGUGCCAUUAUUAAGCUCUAAAGAGUAAAUUCAGUAUGUGAGAGGGGAAUAAAAUAUUGUUCAGCAAAACAAGAUUUUGCUCAUGUUAGGAGCAUGUUUGCUCAUGUAUGUACCUUACACUUCAAACUAAAAUUUCUCUUGAAAUGACAUUUCCUUUUGUUAUUGUCACUAGGUUGUAUAAAUCUACCUUCAGUAUACAUUUCAAAAAUGGGUUUCAUGAGGACAUUUUGGAAAUGCAUAUGGAACUGUUAUGAACAUAAAUAAUAUAUUUUUUGUGAAAUUAUAAAUUAACUCUUUCCAUUGUUUUUUUUUAGUAUUUCUGCUUUCAUGUAAGUGCUUUCUCUCUCUCUCUCUCCCACACUUCCUGCCCCCCCCUUUUUCUUUAUCAUGUUUUAGCAAUACAAACAAUCACUUAGCUUAACCUGAAGGAGAUAAAGUAAUACAAUAGAAAUACACAAUGAGAUAUUUGUGUCUUUGUCAGAUUCUUUGAUGACUCCAGAUGUGGUGGCUCACAUUAGGGUGUUUCAGGGGUUUUAGAUUAAAUGAAAUGGGAUAAGAAAAAACACACAAAGUUAUAGUCUAAGGUUUUAGGUCCACAGAAGUUGUGUGAUGGACCUCUUGCUUCCUUGCCUAUCUAUUCGCUCCUUUUGACCCAUGAAAAUUUUCUGCAUCUCCAAUAAAUAUGUUAUGAAUUGCAAAUGUAAAAAGAAACUCUAAUGUGAUGGUGUACAAAGCCCCUUCACCAGAUGCAAUUCCUUGGGACAACCAUGGGGACUUGAAGCUACCUGACCACUCCAUGGACACUGCUGUGCACUUGGUCUUUCUUUUUGAGACCAACUCUUUAUACGAAAUGGUCUCUAGAAAUGGUGUGUAUUUCCCACCCUAAUAUCAUCUUAAAUGGAAUAUUUAACUUAUCUUCCUCUUUACCUUCAAAUCUAUAAGUUACUUUGCCAUUUCAUUCCUUUCUUCUACUGGAAAGCCAUCUAUCAGCAGAAAAGUACCUCUUGCUCUUUUCUUCACAUUUUCUGUUUUUCCCACCACACCUUCUGUGAUGGUAGAUAUUAUACGUUCCAGCAGACUCACAGAGCUCAGGAGAUGGCAUCUAAACACUAAAGUGGGGGUGCCUGAAAGGUUCCACUUCUCUUUCAUUUUUGACCCUACUCUUCUUUUGCAUCCUGGUACUCUCGGAUAUGACCUACUUCUGCUACCACACCCUCAAACCACACUCUGCCAUGCUUCUGCACCGUGUAUCCAUUCAGACCAUAACUCAAACUAACUCUCUUUUAUUUUAUUACUUAUUUAUUUAUUUUUUAUUAGAUAUUUUCUUUUUUAUUUAUUUAUUUUUUUUAAUUAGGUAUUUUCCUCGUUUACAUUUUCAAUGCUAUCCCAAAGGUCCCCCAUACCCACCCACCCCCCCAAUCCCCUACCCACCCACUCCCACUUUUUGGCCCUGGUGUUCCCCUGUACUGGGGCAUAUAAAGUUUGCAAGUCCAAUGGGCCUCUCUUUGCAGUGAUGACUGACUAGGCCAUCUUUUGAUAAAUAUGCAGCUAAAGACAAGAGCUCCUGGGUACUGGUUAGUUCAUAUUGUUGUUCCACCUAUAGGGUUGCAGUUCCCUUUAGCUCCUUGGGUAAUUUCUCUAGCUCCUCCAUAAGGGGCCGUGUGACCCAUCCAAUAGCUGACUGUGAUCAUCCACUUCUGUGUUUGCUAGGCCCCGGCAUAGUCUCACAAGAGACAGCUAUAUCUGGGUCCUUUCAGCAAAAUCUUGCUAGUGUAUGCAAUGGUGUCAGCAUUUGGAAGCUGAUUAUGGGAUGGAUCCCUGCAUAUGGCAAUCACUAGAUGGUCCAUCCUUUCGUCACAGCUCCAAAUUUUGUCUCUGUAACUCCUUCUAUGGGUGUUUUGUUCCCAUUUCUAAGAAAGGGUAGAGUGUCCACACUUUGGUCUUCGUUCUUCUUGAAUUUCAUGCGUUUGGCAAGUUGUAUCUUAUAUCUUGGGUAUCCUACGUUUCUGGGCUAAUAUCCACUUAUCAGUGAGUACAUAUUGUGCGAGUUCCUUUGUGAUUGGGUUACUUCACUCAGGAUGAUACCCUCCAGGUCCAUCCAUUUGCCUAGGAAUUUCAUAAAUUCAUUUUUUUAAUAGCUGAGUAGUAUUCCAUUGUGUAAAUGUACCACAUUUUCUGUAUCCAUUCCUCUGUUGAGGGGCAUCUGGGUUCUUUCCAGCUUCUGGCUAUUAUAAAUAAGGCUGCUAUGAACAUAGUGGAGCAUGUGUUCUUCUUACCGGUUGGGACAUCUUCUGGAUAUAUGCCCAGGAGAGGUAUUGCGGGAUCCUCCGGUAGUACUAUGUCCAAUUUUCUGAGGAACCGCCAGACUGAUUUCCAGAGUGGUUGUACAAGCUUGCAAUCCCACCAACAAUGGAGGAGUGUUCCCCUUUCUCCACAUCCUCGCCAGCAUCUGCUGUCACCUGAGUUUUUGAUCUUAGCCAUUCUGACUGGAGUGAAGUGGAAUCUCAGUGUUGUUUUGAUUUGCAUUUCCCUGAUGAUUAAGGAUGUUGAACAUUUUUUCAGGUGCUUCUCUGUCAUUCGGUAUUCCUCAGGUGAGAAUUCUUUUUUUCAGCUCUGAGCCCCAUUUAUUAAUGGGGUUAUUUGAUUUUCUGGAGUCCACCUUCUUGAGUUCUUUAUAUAUAUUGGAUAUUAGUCCCCUAUCCGAUUUGGGAUAGGUAAAGAUCCUUUCCCAAUCUGUUGGUGGCUUUUUUGUCUUAUUGACGGUGUCUUUUGCUUUGCAGAAGCUUUGCAAUUUUAUGAGGUCCCAUUUAUCGAUUCUUGAUCUUACAGCACAAGCCAUUGCUGUUCUAUUCAGGAAUUUUUCCCCUGUACCCAUAUCUUCAAAGCAUUUCCCUACUUUCUCCUCUAUAAGUUUCAGUGUCUCUGGUUUUAUGUGGAGUUCCUUAAUCCACUUAGAUUUGACCUUAGUACAAGGAGAUAGAAAUGGAUCAAUUUGCAUUCUUCUACAUGAUAACCGACAGUUGUGCCAGCACCAUUUGUUGAAAAUGCUGUCUUUUUUCCACUGGAUGGUUUUAGCUCCCUUGUCAAAGAUCAAGUGACCAUACUUUAUAUACAUUUCAAAUGCUAUCCCAAAAGUUCCCUAUACCCUCCCCCCGCCCUGCUGCCCUAACCACCCACUCCUGCUUCUUGGCCCUGGCAUUCCCUUGUACUGGGGCAUAUGAAGUUUACAAUACUAAGGGGCCUUGCUUCCCAGUGAUGGCUGACUAGGCCAUCUUCUGCUACUUAUGCAGCUAGAGAUACGAGCUCUGGGGGGUACUGGUUAGUUCAUAUUGUUGUUCCACCUAUAGGGUUACAGACCCCUUCAGCUCCUUGGGUGCUUUCUCUAGGUUUUCCAUUGGCGUCCCUGUGUUCCAUCCUACAGAUGACUGUGAGCAUCCAUUUCUGUAUUUGCCAGGCACUGGCAUAGGCUCAUACAAGACAACUAUAACAGGGUCCCUUCAGCAAAGUCUUUCUGGCAUAUGUAAUAGUGUCUGAGUUUGGUGGCUGAUUAUGGGAUGGAUCCCCAGGUGGGGUAGUCUCUGGAGAGUCCAUCCUUUCGUCUUAGCUCCAAACUUUGUCUCUGUAACUCCUUUCAUAGGUAUUUUGUUCCCUAUUCUAAGGAGUAAUGAAGUAUCCACCCAUUGGUCUUCCCUCUUUUUGAUUAAGUUGCUCCUUUCAAGUAUUUUGUCCAUUUGUCAAGAAAAUAACUUAAAAACCAUUCUUCCUUAAAUUCCAAAGCAUCCCAACCAUCACAUGUGCACGCAUGGAAGGCACAUUAGCCAAUCAAUCACCUUAAGUUAGGUUUUCAGUAAUUGCUACAUCUACCAAUAAUAUGGCUGCUAAAUUCACUCCUAACUGCUGCUAGAAAAAUUGUCCUUCUCAUUCAUCUGCUUAAUGUUUUUGUUUUCAUUAACAUUAGAGGAAUCCUUGCAUGUCUUACUGGAAAGUGUGUCCCUGCUCAUUCCUUCUCUAUAGCCACCCAUUCCUACCCUCACACUCAGCUUUCAUUUGACUGAAGAGAGCUGUGUAGUCUCCCAACACAGUCUCUGUAGUUUCGUUUGGAAGAGCAGUUUCUUCAGACCUGAAUGUGCAGCCAGCUCUUAGCUGUGGGCUUCCUUUGUCAUCUCAAACCCAUAAUUACACCUGUGCUCCUCUACUUCUCCUGUGUCUUACAUAGUUCUCUGUGAUUUUAAACAUCUGGUUUUUUUUGUUUGUUUGUUUUUGUUUUUAUUCCUGUUUCCCUCCAUAAACUCUUAACUCCUUCAGCAUCCAGCUUGUCUCUUCUCCCUAGAAUGUGGAACAGAGAAGAAAGUAGUAGCUCAAUGCCUGCUGAACUGCAUAGAACAUAGUCCACAUUAGCAGAUAAAGUUGAGCUAGGACCACCAAACAUGCCUAUUAUUUACUAGGAUGAGACUCACUAGCAGGCUAUUCAUGAUCAUUGUGGGGAGGUUCAAUAACUCCUCAGGCACUUUCUACUCCUCCACAAGCAUUACCCCUGCCAUGGCACUGAUGUGAUGUCACCCUCUCCAUUCCUUUGGGUGUAUCAACACUUGUACUGGUUCAUACGUGUACUUCACUGUUACAUAAGGGGUAACAGCAGAGAUAUCACCAUAAAAGAUUGUUCUGUGCAUCCAGUUGUUAAAUUCCCCAUGCUCUGGGUCUACCUGUGCCAAUAUGCCUGCAUAGACUACUUGCUAGCAGGGUUAGUGACCACUGCAUUUUUAAAUAAUCUCUCCAUAUACUUCACAAGUAUUUACUCCAGCCUAUAGUAGGAUCAAGAAGGUGCCCUCAUAUUGCCAAAGCAUUGCUUAACAUCUUCAGUCAUCAUUUUUUUAAAGAACUUGUAUAGAAUAAUUAGUUCACUGGUCUUCAAACUCAAGAGAAGCUAAAAAACUGUUUUCAUCUGUUCCCAUCUCAGAAACAAUGGGCACUGAACAAUAUGACAAAAGAGAAGAGAGGGGGAAUAAAGAGAAAAAGGAAAAGAAAGAGAAAUCCAUUUGGGAUUGCUGAUGUUAGACUUGCAUAGCACAAAUGGUGUAUUCAUACCCACACACUCUGUUCUAUAGUGCCAGGUUAGCCCAUUCUUCUAUAACCCUACUUCACAGUUUGUAAUAGGAAAUAAGCAAGAUGAGACACAUCUUUAACUUAUUUUCUAGACAUUAAUGGCAUGAGACCAUUUCUCCCAAAUCUUAAUUUCUUCCAAAUAUCUUCCACAGAAAGCAUGGCUUCUGCAGUUCUGCAGUUCAAGUCCAAGACAACUUGACAUUUCAGCUACUAUUUACCAUCACUCAGAAUGAAGCUAGGCAUUUGAGUAAGACUGGGAAGGUCUCUCAAGAUCUCUUGUUUCCUAAUGUUCAUAACAGAUAUAGAUUCCAGAGUUCAUAAAACAUAAAAAGAAACACAGAGCACAUGUGUUUUAGAACAUACUAAAAACAAGACAGAAGGUAUCUUGUUUAACAUUAUAGAUGAUCUGAAUUAGGAAAUUAGGAAAACAACAUGGUGAUUUUUGGAAAGUUAACCACAACAAAGCACAUGGGUCUUUUGUGAUGAGAACAUUGUACCAUUGUAUCAUUCAAAUUACACAAAUGUGAGCUUUCACUUCAAAGUAGAAUUGACUCUCUCCACCUGAUCAUUCACCAACUCAAAUAUUCUUUGCUCCAGAACUAGCUAAGGAUCUUUACUACAAUCUAUGUUUAAAAUAUAUUCUAUAAAUGGUUUAAAAAUAAGAAGGACUAGCUUGGAAUGACUAUUAUGUUUUACCAGAGCAAACAUGUUAAAACCCUAUAGCUCUUAUGACAAAAUAAAAUACCUCCUCGUAGUUUUAAUAGAAAAGGCUUGUCAGGUACUGUACAAAACAUCAAUGUAUUGUUUUUCAUGUUUUCAGAAGUGAGCAGAAUGGGGUGGGUUUUAUGUAAGUUGGGCUGUAUUGGGAAGAGUUCACAGAAGUGAUUGCUAUUAUAAAUAACAACAGGAAAAAUUAUUUUUGGAGCAUAGAAUGAUGAAGAUUGAAAGCCAAGAAAUAGAAAGGGUAGCAGGUGAAAUAAUCAUGCAAGUAGAGGAACUGUGAGUCACAGGGAAAAAAUGUUACUUAUAUACAUUGUUGCCUAGGGCUACCCUAGGCAUGCUUAUUUGGAAAGGAAAGUUUUCUGAAAAUGAUCUGCAGUAAACAAUCUGAACACAUUUUCAGAAUGCCACUGGUAAUAGUCCCAGCAAGUGGACCUUUUUUUGCUACAAAUUGGGUCAUAAUUAUCACGACCUUCAUUUCAGACCACUUUCUUCCUUACUGAUGGAUUGCCACAGCCUCCACACGAAAUGAGUAUUGAUUUAAUAUUUGGCGACCUUAAGCAAUAUCUGUUACAAAGGUGGCACCUGGGCUGUGGUAUCCACCAACCCUUGUGUAAUGGAAGGGCUUGGAUUCCCUUCAUCUUCACAGGUUCAUAACACCCAUCAGCUAGCUUGCUUUCUUAUUCUUGCUUUUUCAAAAAAAAAAAUUGUUUGUGCCACUGUAGAGUGUUUUUUUUUCCUAUAUAAAUAUUUGCAGCAAUUCUGAACUCCCUCAAACCAUCCAUAGAGGAUAAAUACCAUGCUGUUUAUAGCAUUAAAUUUGUGCAAAAAUGCUACACAGCAUUUUUCAUUUGGUGUUUUACAAAUAAAAUACAUAAAGUAACUCAUGAUCCCCCCUCUCUGCCUUGCAUGUACAGUUAGAGGAAGGAGGUCUGCUCUGCAUGUCUUCUCCCCUUCUCCACUUAUUCCCUGACACAAUGUUUCCCUCUGAACCACUAGCUAGCUAGGUUGCCUGCCACUAAGCCCCAGAAUCACCUUCUUUCCAUUCUCCCAGAGGGAGACUUUUAUUUAGGUGCAGCACUUUUACUCUGAGCCAUUUCACUAGGUCUGAUCUUAAAUUUUUCAUUAGCAUGAUUCUGAUUUAUAAUCCUUCACUAUCAUAGUUAAAUUCUAAAUGUGAUUGAAAUAAUAUGUCCACUUGUUAUUUUAGCACAAAAGAAAGGCAGAUGCUUUGCUCAUAAAAACAAACAAACAAACAAACAAACAAAAAAUCAGACACUGCUUCAGUGUGUACCUAUGUGUCAAACAUUUUUAUUUAGGAGGAUUUUCAGUUAAAAAGUUGGGAAUUAUCACUAGCUAAAUUCAGAAUGUCAGUUUUACAUUUCUUUAUACAAAACUUUAUAUAAAACAAAUAUGUAUACAAUAUAUAUAUAUAUAUAUACCUGUCAUUAUGAAUCAUCGUUUUAUAUUUUUAUUCUAAUUUUAUAUCUAUCUUCCUUAAUUUUAUGAUUUUAUGAAUAAAUGUUUUAGCAACAGAGCCCAGUUACAUAUCCACCAACUAACCCAAUGCGAUGUAUAGCUCUUGGGGCAUUCCCUAAUGAAUGAACAGCUUCCUCAAGGAACUGUUUGAGAAGUUGUCUUGGAAAUUAACAGAAAAUAUACCCACUUCAGGGAUAAAAACACAUUUAAAAUGCUACUAGCAUAAAUUCCUAGUGUCCUUCCCAGCUUCCUUCAGCACAUCAUAAGUGUUUGCUAAGUCUUUAUAUUGGUUUUACUCUGCUUCCUUUGUUUGUUGGUCUUUUGAAUUUGAGAUGCACAAUAUGGACUAAUCUCUCUCAAGUUCAGUAUCUUAUCAUUAGAAAAAAGUCUGGUUGUCAGAGGGUCAUCUUUUCAGCUGCAACUUAUAAGUAAUUUGAUGACUCAGCCUUCAACCUUAGAAAAACUUUACUUCAGGUCUCAUUCAUGUAGGUGAUGUUUUGUUGUUUUGUUUUAAUAUGCAUUUAUACUGACAUGAUCCUAGUUAUAUGUUAUAUCAAGUUUUUUUUUCUUUUGCCCAAUUCCAGCUAUAAAAAAUGUUGAAUUUUCAACUAUUCAAAAAA